rnacentral:lncRNA from 1 species
GCCACCGCGCCCAGCCUGCAUUUUAAAUAGGAAGCUUAUUGCUAGUAGGUGAAUUUCAGACUACAUAACUAAAGAAUUUAAGGCAGAUAUAGGAGGAUCAGACAGGAUUCUGGCUGGAAACUGAUGAGACAUUGGAAGAAGUUCACAAUAUAAGGGCGGGGCUCCGGCACUGAAGGAGGGGUCUGGAAGCGCUGUGGGCAGGAGCAACGAAGGGAAGAAAGGCUUCAACUGACCCCUCGACCUGAAGGCCCACAGCCGGGAACACCGGCAAGGAGAACACAAGAGAAUGCACGGGAAAAACACAAGUCAAAAACAAUGCUCUAUGCAACUCAUUUUCAUCUAGCAUUACCUCUCCAAAACCUGAAUAUCCACAAGAAAGCCAUACAGCAAUUAACCAGUGUUGCAAGAACUGCUUCUGUAAUAAAGAGAUCGUAUGUACUCAUUGUUGAAAAUAGGGAAAGUAAAAGAAGUACAAAUCCCACUACCCAC